CCGCUGUUCCCUCCCCUCGUUGCGCCGCCGCCGCUGCUCCCCCACCUCGUUGUGCCGCCGCCGCUGCUCCCCCACCUCGCUGCGCCGUUGUUGCCGCUCCGCUACCUCGCAACGCCGCCGUCGCCACUCCCCUACCUCGCAGCGCCGCCGCCGCUCCUCUACAAAAAAAUAUUGAUACCAAUUACCGCAAAUACACUCUCAAAUCCAACCACAAAGAUCAACACAGGUUUUGCUUUUAUUAUGCUUUUAUGAUAUGCAGGGAAUAAGAUGCGAUGAAGUGCCUAAUGAAGUUGGAUUCAUGCUACAGUAGUCUAGACUUUAUGUCACUAUAUAUUAAUAUAGAUAAUUGUAGAUAACUAUAGUCACCUGUAGUAACAUAUAGUUAUAUGUAUGUUAUAGGUUUUUUAAUGUGUUCAUGUUUGAAGAAUAUAUGCAUGUGAUUGUAUUUUUUUUAUUUUUUGUUUGUUAGUUGAUUUAUAAUAUCAAGAUCUAA